rnacentral:rRNA from 1 species
GACGAACGCUGGCGGCGUGCUUAACACAUGCAAGUCGAACGGAAAGGCCUGCUUUCCCUUGUGGAUUGCGGGUACUCGCGUGGCGAACGGGUGAGUAACACGUGAGUGAUCUGCCCCCAACUUGGGUAUAAGCCUGGGAAACUGGGUCUAAUUACCGAUCGGACUGCAGGGUGGUGCCUGUGGUGGAAGACGAUUUUCUAGUGGUUGGGGAUGAGCUCGCGGCCUAUCAGCUUGUUGGUGGGGAAAUGGUCUACCAAGGCGGCGACGGGUAGCCGGCCUGGGAGGGUGGGCGGGCACGUUUGGACUGAGAUACUGCCAAGGCUACUACGGGAAGCAGCAGUGGGGAGGAAUGCGCGAGGAGCGGAAGCCUGAGGCAGGGACGCCGCUGGAGGGAUGACGGCUUCCGGAUGGUGAACUCCUUGCGGCCGCGAGGAAGCCACCUGGAUGGAGGGGUGGUGACGGUAGUGGGAGAAGAAGCACCGGCUAACUACGUG